UACAGAGGUCCCAAGCGUUGUUCGGAUUCAUUGGGCGUAAAGGGUGCGUAGGCGGCGCGGUAAGUCGGGUGUGAAAUCUCGGGGCUUAACUCCGAAACUGCAUUCGAUACUGCCGUGCUUGAGGACUGGAGAGGAGACUGGAAUUUACGGUGUAGCGGUGAAAUGCGUAGAUAUCGUAAGGAAGACCAGUGGCGAAGGCGGGUCUCUGGACAGUUCCUGACGCUGAGGCACGAAGGCCAGAGGAGCAAACGGG
rnacentral:rRNA from 1 species